rnacentral:rRNA from 1 species
CACCCAGACUCCUACGGGAGGCAGCAGUGAGGAAUAUUGGUCAAUGGGCGGGAGCCUGAACCAGCCAAGUCGCGUGAGGGAUGACGGCCCUAUGGGUUGUAAACCUCUUUUGCCGGGGAGCAAAAAGCGGUACGUGUACCGCAUCGAGAGUACCCGGAGAAAAAGCAUCGGCUAACUCCGUGCCAGCAGCCGCGGUAAUACGGAGGAUGCGAGCGUUAUCCGGAUUUAUUGGGUUUAAAGGGUGCGUAGGCGGAAGGUUAAGUCAGCGGUAAAAUGUCGGUGCUCAACACCGGCCUGCCGUUGAAACUGGUCUUCUUGAGUGAGCGAGAAGUAUGCGGAAUGCGUGGUGUAGCGGUGAAAUGCAUAGAUAUCGCGCAGAACUCCGAUUGCGAAGGCAGCAUGCCGGCUCCACACUGACGCUGAGGCACGAAAGCGUGGGUAUCGAACAGGAUUAGAUACCCUUGUA